rnacentral:tRNA from 1 species
GGUGGGGUGGCUGAGCGGCUGAAAGCGAUAGUUUUGAAAACUAUUAUACCCGAAAGGGUAUCGUGAGUUCGAAUCUCACCCCCACCGCCA